GAUGAACGCUGGCGGCGUGCCUAAUACAUGCAAGUCGAGCGAACGGACGAGAAGCUUGCUUCUCUGAUGUUAGCGGCGGACGGGUGAGUAAAACGUGGAUAACCUACCUAUAAGACUGGGAUAACUUCGGGAAACCGGAGCUAAUACCGGAUAAUAUUUUGAACCGCAUGGUUCAAAAGUGAAAGACGGUCUUGCUGUCACUUAUAGAUGGAUCCGCGCUGCAUUAGCUAGUUGGUAAGGUAACGGCUUACCAAGGCAACGAUGCAUUGCCGACCUGAGAGGGUGAUCGGCCACACUGGAACUGAGACACGGUCCAGACUCCUACGGGAGGCAGCAGUAGGGAAUCUUCCGCAAUGGGCGAAAGCCUGACGGAGCAACGCCGCGUGAGUGAUGAAGGUCUUCGGAUCGUAAAACUCUGUUAUUAGGGAAGAACAUAUGUGUAAGUAACUGUGCACAUCUUGACGGUACCUAAUCAGAAAGCCACGGCUAACUACGUG
rnacentral:rRNA from 1 species